rnacentral:rRNA from 1 species
UACGAAGGGUGCAAGCGUUGUUCGGAAUUACUGGGCGUAAAGAGUGUGUAGGCGGUGCUCUAAGUUCGGUGUGAAAUCUCCCGCUUAACUGGGAGGGUGCGCCGGAAACUGGAGUGCUCGAGCGUGGGAGAGGAAAGCGGAAUUCCUGGUGUAGCGGUGAAAUGCGUAGAUAUCGGGAGGAACACCUGUGGCGAAAGCGGCUCACUGGACCACAACUGACGCUGAGGCGCGAAAGCUAGGGGAGCAAACAGGG